UACGUAGGGUGCUAGCGUUGUCCGGAUUUAUUGGGCGUAAAGGGCUCGUAGGCGGCGUGUCGCGUCGGGAGUGAAAGCCCGCUGCUUAACGGCGGGUUGGCUUCCGGUACGGGCAUCGCUGGAGUGCGGCAGGGGAGACUGGAAGUUCCUGGUGUAGCGGUGGAAUGCGCAGAUAUCAGGAGGAACACCGGUGGCGAAGGCGGUCUGCUGGGCAGUAGCUGGACACUGAGGCGCGACAGCGUGGGGGAGCAAACAGG
rnacentral:rRNA from 1 species